UAGGCACCUACCUGCCAUGGGCUGCAUGCGGUCACCUGUGACUAACACUUCCCCAGAUAAACUUAAUCCAAAAAUCCACAGAAAUCAGCGUUUCUUUCCAUUACCCGCAAUGAGCUUUGGAUCGGACUUAGGUGUGGUAGAGCCAGGCUCGCUCGGAAUUAGUGGCCAGAUGUUCAAGGCUUGAUACGCUGAGGAAUCGCUGCCAGCCUGGUGAAACCUUCCCAGGGCACGCUGAGAGGCCCAAAGCAGUAAGUAAACGGAGGAAUGGCAAACUGGGGCCGCGGGAUGGCCUCAGAUGGCCCAUGAGGGACAGGUCCCUUGUCCCUGUGUGCUGCGGGGAGGCUCGGAGCCUUGCUGAAACACCCACAGAGCGGCCAGUUCGGUUUGUUUUUUUUUUUUUUAAACAAACUGUCUGUGAAUCUUUGUAUUGUAGGGUCGCGGAUAGAAGUUGGUUUCCACACCUUUAGAGCGCGGAUGCCGAUGGCGCUUCACUCACCCUGUGUGAAUGCAGUCGGGAGGCUGUGACGGGGCGGGGAGGACAAGACGGAGGAGAAUCAAGCUGUGAGGGGGACCGGGGGUGCUGCCCGGAGCCCCCCUCUCCGUCCUGAGGCGAGGCGGGGGGAAGCGUAGCCGAGGGUUUCCCCCCCCCCCAUCACCUCAUGGCGAGCGCUCCAGAGGGAAAGGCUGAGGCGAUGGCGACCGUUAGGCGGGGUCGCGCGCCCCCUCAGAGUUGGAGGCGGGGGGCGGGGGGGGGGGGUGGAACCAGGCGGCGGCCCCCGCCACCCGCCAGGGGGCAGGCGGGGCGCGAGCGCCGCCGCGCGCGUGUCCCGCCCUCAGAGAGACACCUCAGGGCGGUGGAGGAGAAGGAGGAGGAGGAGAAGAAGAAGAAGGGAGGAGGAACGCCCGGCCCUGACCCGCUGUCCCGCCGCUGCCUGCUCCUCUUCCGUCGGCCGCAGUGUAAGUCGGCUUGGAUCCUGCUCGGCAGCCAGUUGUGAAAGUCAUCACUUCUAAUAGUGCAGUGCCCCAGAGACCACCGCAGGGCAUUGGCUGGCUCAGUACUGACUCAGAGCCUAAAGUGUUGACACUGCUCAUCUAGAAAAAUGAUGCAAUUAUGACUCUCCUCCCUAGUCUGGGAAAGCAUCUUGGAUCUUCUCAUUCACAGCUCCAGUUUUCAGAGGUGGAGUGAGCCAGUCUGACUGGGGUGAGUCUUCCCUGCUUGCAUAUAUUUAUCAGUCCCUGUUCUUUAAAUGCUUGAAUAUUUCCUGGAGAUUAUGGACUGGGUAUAACUACACUCUUUAUA
rnacentral:lncRNA from 1 species